rnacentral:tRNA from 1 species
GGCAGGAUGGCCGGGUGGUCUUAAUGGCUGGGUUAAGGCACCAGUUUCUUCGGUGGCGUGGGUUCGAAUCCCACUCCUGUCA